rnacentral:rRNA from 1 species
CUACAAUGGCGCAUACAAAGAGAAGCGACCUCGCGAGAGCAAGCGGACCUCAUAAAGUGCGUCGUAGUCCGGAUUGGAGUCUGCAACUCGACUCCAUGAAGUCGGAAUCGCUAGUAAUCGUAGAUCAGAAUGCUACGGUGAAUACGUUCCCGGGCCUUGUACACACCGCCCGUCACACCAUGGGAGUGGGUUGCAAAAGAAGUAGGUAGCUUAACCUUCGGGAGGGCGCUUACCACUUUGUGAUUCAUGACUGGGGUGAAGUCGUAACAAGGUAACCGUAGGGGAACC